rnacentral:siRNA from 1 species
UAUUAAGGGUGUUUGCGAUCCA